UGGAAUUGUGGCCUUAAUUACAUUCCAAGGUCUGAUCUCAAGUCAUUUGCAACCUCUCAGAUGGAUUACAUCAUGGGUCAAAAUCCAAUGAACAUGAGCUACAUAGUUGGAUAUGGCAAGAAGUUUCCAACUCAUAUUCAUCAGAGAUGCAUCAAUUCCAAAUAAUCACAAAAAUUACUCAUGCACUAGUCGUUGGAAGUGGCGCGACACCCCUAACAGAAAUCCUAACAACAUCACAGGAGCAAUGGUUGGAAGUGUCAAGUAUAGAUUUUUUCGACAAAGGAUGUUUUCAUUAUUUUAUGGACUUUGGCAGUACAUGUUCAACAAGUUAGAGCUUCAUGUACUCAUUUUAGGGAUUGACAAGGCUGGCAAAAUGACUUUGCUUGAGAAGAUGAAGUCGGUGUACACGAGUGUAGAAGGUCUUCCUCCUGAUCGAAUUGUGGAAAGCAAUUGCUUCUCCAGGGCGUGGUAUUUUGGCCAUGGAUGAAUCCAAUGCUACAUGUGGAAAGCGGUUGGAUUCAAUUAAACUAGAGAACACCGAAGCUAACCGUCAAGCAUGGCGUAAAAUUAUAUAUGAAGAAAGUGUUAUGACUUGGUUAAAAUAUAAUUUUUAUGUGUAUGAUUUUAUAGUACUUGAAAUAUUAUGA